UACAGAGGGUGCAAACGUUGUUCGGAAUUACUGGGCGUAAAGCGCGUGUAGGCGGCCUAGUGUGUCGGGCGUGAAAUCCCACGGCUCAACCGUGGAAGUGCACUCGAAACUGCAAGGCUGGAGUACUGGAGAGGAUGGUAGAAUGCUCGGUGUAGAGGUGAAAUUCGUAGAUAUCGAGCGGAAUACCGGUGGCGAAGGCGGCCAUCUGGACAGUCACUGACGCUGAGACGCGAAAGCGUGGGGAGCAAACAGG
rnacentral:rRNA from 2 species